GUCGGGAUAGCUCAGUUGGUAGAGCGAAGGUCUCAUACGCCUUAUGUCACCGGUUCGAAUCCGGUUCCCGACA
rnacentral:tRNA from 1 species